rnacentral:rRNA from 1 species
CAGUGGUUGUGGAGUCGUCGUUGAAAUACCACUCUGGUCGUGCUGGAUGUCUAACCUGGGUCCGUGAUCCGGAUCAGGGACAGUGUCUGAUGGGUAGUUUAACUGGGGCGGUUGCCUCCUAAAGAGUAACGGAGGCGCCCAAAGGUUCCCUCAGCCUGGUUGGCAAUCAGGUGUUGAGUGUAAGUGCACAAGGGAGCUUGACUGUGAGACCGACGGGUCGAGCAGGGACGAAAGUCGGGACUAGUGAUCCGGCAGUGGCUUGUGGAAGCGCUGUCGCUCAACGGAUAAAAGGUACCCCGGGGAUAACAGGCUGAUCUUCCCCAAGAGUCCAUAUCGACGGGAUGGUUUGGCACCUCGAUGUCGGCUCGUCGCAUCCUGGGGCUGGAGUCGGUCCCAAGGGUUGGGCUGUUCGCCCAUUAAAGCGGUACGCGAGCUGGGUUUAGAACGUCGUGAGACAGUUCGGUCCCUAUCCGCUGUGCGCGUAGGAAUAUUGAGAAGGGCUGUCCCUAGUACGAGAGGACCGGGACGGACGAACCUCUGGUGUGCCAGUUGUUCUGCCAAGGGCAUGGCUGGUUGGCUACGUUCGGAAAGGAUAACCGCUGAAAGCAUCUAAGCGGGAAGCCUGCUUCGAGAUGAGUAUUCCCACCCUCUUGAAGGGUUAAGGCUCCCAGUAGACGACUGGGUUGAUAGGCCAGAUGUGGAAGCCCGGUAACGGGUGGAGCUGACUGGUACUAAUAGGCCGAGGGCUUGUCCUCAGUUG